UACAGAGGGUGCAAGCGUUAAUCGGAAUUACUGGGCGUAAAGCGUGCGCAGACGGUUGCGUAAGUCAGAUGUGAAAGCCCCGGGCUCAACCUGGGAAUUGCAUUUGAGACUGCGUAGCUAGGGUGCGGAAGAGGGAAGCGGAAUUUCCGGUGUAGCGGUGAAAUGCGUAGAUAUCGGAAGGAACACCAGUGGCGAAGGCGAGUCUCUGGACGACUCCUGACACUGAGGCACGAAAGCUAGGGGAGCAAACAGG
rnacentral:rRNA from 1 species